rnacentral:rRNA from 1 species
GCAAGUGUUAUCCGGAAUCACUGGGCGUAAAGCGUCUGUAGGUGGUCAAAUAAGUCAACUGUUAAAUCUUGAGGCUCAACCUCAAAAUCGCAGUCGAAACUAUUAGACUAGAGUAUAGUAGGGGUAAAGGGAAUUUCCAGUGGAGCGGUGAAAUGCGUAGAGAUUGGAAAGAACACCGAUGGCGAAGGCACUUUACUGGGCUAUUACUAACACUCAGAGACGAAAGCUAGGGUAGCAAAUGGG